UAGGGAAUCCUCCGCAAUGGACGAAAGUCUGACGGAGCAACGCCGCGUGCGGGAUGACGGCCUUCGGGUUGUAAACCGCUUUCAGCAGGGACGCGGUACCUGCAGAAGAAGCCCCGGCUAACUACGUGCCAGCAGCCGCGGUAAUACGUAGGGGGCAAGCGUUGUCCGGAUUCAUUGGGCGUAAAGAGCUCGUAGGCGGUUCAGUAAGUCAGGUGUGAAAGCUCCGAGCUCAACUCGGAGAGGCCACUUGAUACUGCUGGACUAGAAUCCAGUAGGGGAGCGUGGAACUCCUGGUGUAGCGGUGAAAUGCGCAGAUAUCAGGAAGAACACCAGCGGCGAAGGCGGCGCUCUGGGCUGGAAUUGACGCUGAGGAGCGAAAGUGUGGGUAGCAAACAGGAUUAGAUACCCCUGUAGU
rnacentral:rRNA from 1 species